rnacentral:ncRNA from 1 species
AUCCCAGCACCCACUCCUGUCAUCCCAGUGCUUGACACUGGGAUCCAGAAAAUUUGAUUAGACAUUAAGUUGGUUAGCAAAAAAGUAGCUAAUCUUAUGUUAAAACACAACAUUUUUGAUGAGGUUGCAUGAGAAGCUGGAUCCAAGUAGUCAAGCACUGGGAUGACACCCUUCCCGGUGGAAAUU